GGAGACGUGUCAGAGUGGUCUAAUGUACCUCCUUGCUAAGGAGGCGGGCUUCACGGCCCCGUGAGUUCGAAUCUCACCGUCUCCG
rnacentral:tRNA from 1 species